rnacentral:rRNA from 1 species
GACGAAGCGUCCAAACGUUAUUCGGAAUCACUGGGCUUAAAGAGUUCGUAGGCGGUCUGGCAAGUUGGGUGUGAAAUCCCUCGGCUCAACCGAGGAACUGCGCUUGAAACUACCAGACUCGAGGGAGAUAGAGGAAAGCGGAACUGAUGGUGGAGCGGUGAAAUGCGUUGAUAUCAUCAGGAACACCGGUGGCGAAGGCGGCUUUCUGGGUCUUACCUGACGCUGAGGAACGAAAGCUAGGGGAGCGAACGGG